GAGCCCGUGGCUCAGGGGUAAGAGCGAUGGACUUCUGAUCAAUAGGUCGCGGGGUCA
rnacentral:tRNA from 1 species